UGCUGAAGACAGCUUUUCAAACAGAUGC
rnacentral:piRNA from 1 species